CUUCACGCCGAUGAUCACCGCUUGCGGCAGCCGCUUGUUGCCUUCUCCCCCCGGCUGGGUUUGCAGUAAGGGAUCCCGGGGCGUGCCGGCCGUCUCUUCGCCCUGAGCCACGGGAAUCGGGGCCGGAUCCCGGGACCAGCUUCAGGCGGAGCUUUCUGGAUUUCGGUGGAAGGAUGGAAAGACUCAACAAGAGGUCGGUUCCAGGAAGCCAGCAGAAGCUGCCCUGCUGUUCCAGAGAGGAGUACGGUGGAAAGAGGUCCUCACCUGGCCGCGAACGGCUGGACAGACUGGCGGAAAGUCCUUCGCAAGCGUUCGUCUGUCACCUUCCCGGUGGGAGUCUCUCUCUCUCUCUCUCUCUCUCUCUCUCUUCCCGGCUGCUCUGGCGGCUGCCACACGUGGAGCUCUCGAUUGUAGCUCAAACUUCUCCGAAUGGCAAACACUCCCCCCCCCGCCAAUCUCCGAACCCCGCCGGGCUGUUUAGCGACGUGCCCAGAAACCAAUGAAAGCUUGAGAAAAAGCGAGAAGGGCGGAUCUGCCUUUCUGAGGGGAUUCGGAAUGGAGGCGGGGACAGAACUAAUAAGGACACGCCCCUUCGUCAGGUUCCGGAGUUUCUCCUUUUGCGGUUCAGAACGAAGGGAGGUUUCGUUACGGUUGAAUGUCGCUUCUGUGGAGAUCUCUGGAUCUUCUUGUGCAGUCUCUCUCUCUCUCUCUCUCUCUCUCUCUCUCUCUCACACACACACACACACACACACACACACACACACACACUCUUCCCAGAGAUGGGAAGGGGGUGUGGGUGACGGCUUGGGAUAAAGCUGGCUCGGAGUCUGAUGCUCAAACUGUUUAGAGAAGGUGGAGGGGAAGCAAAGCCUCUGGGUGGGGGGAGCUGCCUAAUAGACUCGUGUGCGUGGAACCCUCUUUGAGGUUGACUAAAUGCAGCGAUGAGAAAAGAGUUUUUACUUCUGGUGGUUGCUGAGAUGAGAAUUCUUCGCUCCCCAGCUUGCCAGACAGGAAUGCAAUCUUGUUAAAAUUACCCUGAUCCACACACAUCUAAUAAAGGUCCUCCUUUAAUGUUGGCCACUUGUGGGGACAUACCGAUAGUCAAGAGAAAUUAAAGUCUACUGCCUUGAAAUGAAGAAAAAUAAAACCAGUGAGAAAUGAACACAGCCAAGAGGAAUAUUUAAACGAAGUGUACAUCCUAGUUCCACAGCAAAGUAACCACAAAUAUUUAGAAUCAAAGCCUUGCCCACAAUCUCUAGAAUGAAUCUUUUUUUU